rnacentral:rRNA from 1 species
UUCCGGUUGAUCCUGCCGGAGGCCAUUGCUAUCGGAGUCCGAUUUAGCCAUGCUAGUCGUGCGAGUUUAGACUCGCGGCACCGAGCUCAGUAACACGUGGCCAAACUACCCUGUAGAGACGUAUAACCUCGGGAAACUGAGGCUAAUCCGUCAUACCGGUUGAACGGUUGAACUCCAUCAACCUCGAAAUGCCCCGGCGCUACAGGAUGUGGCUGCGGCCGAUUAGGUUGACGGUGGGGUAACGGCCCACCGUGCCAAUAAUCGGAACAGGUUGUGAGAGCAAGAACCUGGAGACGGCAUCUGAGACAAGAUGCCGGGCCCUACGGGGCGCAGCAGGCGCGAAACCUUUACACUGCACGCACGUGCGAUAAGGGGACUCCGAGUGCGAGGGCAUAUCGUCCUCGCUUUUGUGUACCGUAGGGUGGUACACGAACAAGGGCUGGGCAAGACCGGUGCCAGCCGCCGCGGU